rnacentral:rRNA from 1 species
UACGUAGGCGGAAUAUUAAGUCAGUGGUGAAAUCCUGCGGCUCAACCGUAGAACUGCCAUUGAUACUGAUAUUCUUGAAUAUAGUUGAGGUAGGCGGAAUGUGUAACGUAGCGGUGAAAUGCUUAGAUAUUACACAGAACACCGAUUGCGAAGGCAGCUUACUAAACUAUUAUUGACGCUGAUGUACGAAAGCGUGGGGAGCGAACAGGAUUAGAUACCCUGGUAGUCC